AUACGGAGGGUGCAAGCGUUAUACGGAAUCAUUGGGUUUAAAGGGUCCGUAGGCGGGCUAAUAAGUCAGGGGCGAAAUCCCACAGCUUAACUGUGGAACUGCCCUUGAUACUGUUGGUCUUGAGUUACAGUGAAGUGGUUAGAAUGUGUAGUGUAGCGGUGAAAUGCAUAGAGAUUACACAGAAUACCGAUUGCGAAGGCAGAUCACUAACUGUAUACUGACGCUAAUGGACGAAAGCGUGGGGAGCGAACAGGAUUAGAAACCCUAGUAGUCC
rnacentral:rRNA from 1 species